rnacentral:rRNA from 1 species
UACGUAGGGGGCAAGCGUUGUUCGGAAUUACUGGGCGUAAAGGGCGCGUAGGCGGCACAGCAAGUCGGGAGUGAAAGCCCGGGGCUCAACCCCGGAAUGGCUUUCGAAACUGCUGAGCUAGAGUACAGAAGGGGCAACCGGAAUUCCCAGUGUAGCGGUGAAAUGCGUAGAUAUUGGGAAGAACACCUGAGGCGAAGGCGGGUUGCUGGGCUGAUACUGACGCUGAGGCGCGAAAGCCAGGGGAGCAAACGGG